UACGUAGGUGGCAAGCGUUGUCCGGAUUUACUGGGCGUAAAGAGCGCGCAGGCGGCUGGUCAAGUCCGAUGUGAAAUCUCCCGGCUUAACUGGGAAACUGCAUCGGAAACUGAUCGGCUUGAAGGUGGGAGAGGGUAGUGGAAUUCCCGGUGUAGUGGUGAAAUGCGUAGAUAUCAGGAGGAACACCGGUGGCGAAGGCGGGUCUCUGGGCCGAUAUUGACGCUGAGGAGCGAAAGCGUGGGGAGCGAACAGG
rnacentral:rRNA from 1 species